rnacentral:rRNA from 1 species
UACGGAGGGGGCUAGCGUUGUUCGGAAUUACUGGGCGUAAAGCGCGCGUAGGCGGACCUGCAAGUCGGGGGUGAAAGCCCGAGGCUCAACCUCGGAACUGCCUUCGAUACUGCGGGUCUCGAGUCCGGGAGAGGUGAGUGGAAUUCCUAGUGUAGAGGUGAAAUUCGUAGAUAUUUAGGAAGAACACCAGUGGCGAAGGCGGCUCAGCUGGCCCGGUACUGACGCUGAGGUGCGAAAGCGUGGGGAGCAAACAGG